GGGCGAGUAGCUCAGUGGCUAGAGCGUCCGCCUUACACGCGGGAGGUCAUAGGUUCAAAUCCUGUCUCGCCCACCA
rnacentral:tRNA from 1 species